UGGGGAAUCUUGCACAAUGGGCGAAAGCCUGAUGCAGCGACGCCGCGUGAGGGAUGGAGGCCUUCGGGUUGUAAACCUCUUUCAGUAAGGGUGAAGGCUCUCUUUUGUGGAGGGUUGACAGUACUUGCAGAAGAAGCGCCGGCUAACUACGUGCCAGCAGCCGCGGUAAUACGUAGGGCGCGAGCGUUGUCCGGAAUUAUUGGGCGUAAAGGGCUUGUAGGUGGCGUGUCGCGUCUGCUGUGAAAUUCCAGGGCUUAACUUUGGGAUUGCAGUGGGUACGGGCAUGCUAGAGUGCAGUAGGGGAGAUUGGAAUUCCUGGUGUAGCGGUGAAAUGCGCAGAUAUCAGGAGGAACACCGGUGGCGAAGGCGGGUCUCUGGGCUGUUACUGACGCUGAGGAGCGAAAGCGUGGGGAGCGAACAGG
rnacentral:rRNA from 1 species